rnacentral:rRNA from 1 species
GUACGAGCGCACCCUUAUCCUUAUUUGCCAGCACUUCGGGUGGGAACUUUAAGGAGACUGCCGGUGACAAACCGGAGGAAGGUGGGGACGACGUCAAGUCAUCAUGGCCCUUACGAGUAGGGCUACACACGUGCUACAAUGGCGUAUACAGAGGGCUGCGAACUUGCGAGAGUAAGCGAAUCCCAGAAAGUACGUCGUAGUCCGGAUUGGAGUCUGCAACUCGACUCCAUGAAGUCGGAAUCGCUAGUAAUCGUGAAUCAGAAUGUCACGGUGAAUACGUUCCCGGGCCUUGUACACACCGCCCGUCACACCAUGGGAGUUGAUUGCUCCAGAAGUAGCUAGCUUAACCCUUCGGGGAUGGCGGUUACCACGGAGUGGUCAAUGACUGGGGUGAAGUCGUAACAAGGUAGCCCUAGGGGAACCUGGGGCUGGAUCA